rnacentral:rRNA from 1 species
AAUUAGUGGCAGACGGGUGAGUAAUGCAUAGGAAUCUACCUAGUAGUAUGGGAUAGCCACUAGAAAUGGUGGGUAAUACUGCAUAAUCCCUGCGGGGGAAAGAUUUAUCGCUAUUAGAUGAGCCUAUGUUAGAUUAGCUAGUUGGUAGGGUAAAGGCCUACCAAGGCAGUGAUCUAUAGCUGGUCUGAGAGGAUGAUCAGCCACACUGGAACUGAGACACGGUCCAGACUCCUACGGGAGGCAGCAGUGGGGAAUAUUGGACAAUGGGCGCAAGCCUGAUCCAGCUAUGCCGCGUGAGUGAGGAAGGCCUUAGGGUUGUAAAACUCUUUCAGUAGGGAAGAUAAUGAGGAUACCUA